rnacentral:rRNA from 1 species
UACGGAGGAUGCAAGCGUUAUCCGGAAUUAUUGGGCGUAAAGCGUCCGUAGGUGGCUUUACAAGUCAGCUGUUAAAGCGUGGAGCUUAACUCCAUAAAGGCAGUUGAAACUGUGAGGCUAGAGUGCGGUAGGGGUAAGGGGAAUUCCCAGUGUAGCGGUGAAAUGCGUAGAUAUUGGGAGGAACACCAGUGGCGAAGGCGGCUCACUGGACCGGUACUGACGCUGAUGCGCGAAAGCGUGGGGAGCAAACGGG